rnacentral:lncRNA from 1 species
AAUGUGAAGGAGCUGAAUAAGGAAGGACCAGAUGACUGACUCAUGGGGUCUGGUUGAAGUAGAUGAAGGUGAGCCAUUUGAAGUGCUUUGCAGCUGAAGUUAAGACCGGAAAAAAAGUCAAUUCAAGUUUCAGAAGUUCUUACUGACACAUCUUCAAGCUCAAAGGUUUUCUUCUCAGCUAUGUCCAGUCUACAAAUGAGCACAUCCAAGGCAUUCUGCAUUUCUGUUACAGAGUUUUAAAAUCUCUAGCAUUUUUUUUGUUUCUUUUAUAGAAUUUCUGUCUUUGUUUA